rnacentral:rRNA from 1 species
GACGAACGCUGGCGGCGUGCCUAAUACAUGCAAGUCGAACGCAUUUUCUUUCACCGUAGCUUGCUACACCGAAAGAAAAUGAGUGGCGAACGGGUGAGUAACACGUGGGUAACCUGCCCAUCAGCGGGGGAUAACACUUGGAAACAGGUGCUAAUACCGCAUAAUUCCAUUUACCGCAUGGUAGAUGGAUGAAAGGCGCUUUUGCGUCACUGAUGGAUGGACCCGCGGUGCAUUAGCUAGUUGGUGGGGUAACGGCCUACCAAGGCUGCGAUGCAUAGCCGACCUGAGAGGGUGAUCGGCCACACUGGGACUGAGACACGGCCCAGACUCCUACGGGAGGCAGCAGUAGGGAAUCUUCGGCAAUGGACGCAAGUCUGACCGAGCAACGCCGCGUGAGUGAAGAAGGUUUUCGGAUUGUAAAACUCUGUUGUUAGAGAAGAACAAGGAUGAGAGUGGAAAGUUCAUCCCUUGACGGUAUCUAACCAGAAAGCCACGGCUAACUACGUG